rnacentral:rRNA from 1 species
GAUGAACGCUGGCGGCGUGCCUAAUACAUGCAAGUCGAGCGAACAGACGAGGAGCUUGCUCCUCUGACGUUAGCGGCGGACGGGUGAGUAACACGUGGAUAACCUACCUAUAAGACUGGGAUAACUUCGGGAAACCGGAGCUAAUACCGGAUAAUAUAUUGAACCGCAUGGUUCAAUAGUGAAAGACGGUUUUGCGGUCACUUAUAGAUGGAUCCGCGCCGCAUUAGCUAGUUGGUAAGGUAACGGCUUACCAAGGCGACGAUGCGUAGCCGACCUGAGAGGGUGAUCGGCCACACUGGAACUGAGACACGGUCCAGACUCCUACGGGAGGCAGCAGUAGGGAAUCUUCCGCAAUGGGCGAAAGCCUGACGGAGCAACGCCGCGUGAGUGAUGAAGGUCUUCGGAUCGUAAAACUCUGUUAUUAGGGAAGAACAAAUGUGUAAGUAACUAUGCACGUCUUGACGGUACCUAAUCGGAAAGCCACGGCUAACUACGUG